UUAUGAACCCCCCUGAGCAAAGGGCUGCCCUUCUGGGCUCCUCAUGGACAUUUCAAAAGCCUGCAGCUGGUUUGGUUUGCUUGUUCCCAGUGAAAGAAACCUGUACUGUGCUCACACUUAGCCCUGCCUAUUACCACAGCCACGCUGUCAGCCUGCAAGUGAGGCAGAGUUUAAAUUGUGCCUUGUACUUUAUCUUUCCCAACCCUGGAAAGUUAGUAGUGGCUCUGGGGGGACCGUGUCCUCUUCUGCAGGCAGUCUAGGCCUCUCUUGACAAUCAAGAAAAUUCCAGGGUGGUGCACACUGAUAUCACAGUUCAGGAAAAGCAACCUCUAGGCAGUAGGACAAAAACUGAAUAGCAAACCUGGGAUGUUUUGGGAACAGCUAUUUUGAUUGAGCUCUACAUCCAGGGCAGCUGCAGGAGUGCCAGAGCAGGCAUUGAAGAGACCAAAAUGUGCCUGGUAGGUAGACAACUUUCAAAUCUUGAGAAAGUUUUGAUACUAAUAGUAAGACUAACAGAUUCUUGAGGCUUUUGAAUUUGCACGUAGGCAACUUAAUUUGACCAAAAUCCAAAUGCAUUUUGGAAUUUGAGACUUGUGUAUCCCAAAUAAAUCAUGCAACUCAGAAAAUAACAAAAGAAUUUAGAAAAAGCAUCAGAAGUUGAGAGCAAAUGAAUACUUGUAAUUUAACAGUCUGAAUGUUUUGUUUCCUCCUUUUCUGCAUCUCUUACCUCUUCAGAGGACACAGUCUUUUUUUUAUGUUUUUCUUUUUUUUUUUCCUCUCUCAAGUCUUGCACAUUAAAAAUCCAGAAAAGUGGCUGUUUACAUUCUGAGUCUGGUCCUAAUCCUCUUGCAACAACAGAUUUGAUUGUUUAUUUGCCAAGGUAUCUAGCUUAGUUUGUGUGGAAUUCACCAGAUUAAUGCUGUUUUAAUAAUAUGAUUAAAAACUAAGUUUAAAUUGGCAUAAUUAAUUAAUACAAUAAGAAGUAUAAGAAGAUGGUUUUUAAGAACUGAAGUUUUAUUUAUAAUGAAUUCUUGUAAGUACUACCAAGACCAUUUUAGUUAGGAAACAUUACAGUGAUUAAUGCAUAGCUGUUUGCAUUUUAAUACUUGAUUUAUAUGUCAGAUCUGUAUUUGUGCACACUGUCAAACUUUAUUCUGUUCUUGUCAAAAUACUUAUUGCUUCUGACAGGUGUAACAUGCUCACAUUAAUCCUUAAUUCCUUGAUUCAAUUUUCUAAUUGCUUUUUUGGCAUGAGUUUGCAGCCAUUUAGUCUUAUGUGAAGUAUUUGUCUUAUGGUAUAAUAAUGCACUUUUAAAAAUUGGAUGCAUCUAACUUAGACUGCUGAAGAAAAUAUAUAGAGGGAUAUUACUUGUACUGAAAAUCAAAAGUUUUAUAGCACUUCUGAGAGGUACAACUUCUUGGAAUACAGAUAGACCAAAACUCUAUACUUUUCAUCUUCCCAUAUUCACAAUAUUAAAUAUUUUCAUUGGUUCAAAUUGGUAAUGAAGUGUAAGUGUAUUUUGCCCAAUGAGAUGCUGAAUACUUAGAGCGAUCCAUGAACAUACCCUUAGUCACUGUUCUCCUGCUCUUCUCACCUCUUCAGGUUCUUCUUCUCUCAUAUCACUGCUUGCCACUUCUGAAAUUGAUUAGAAUUUGAGAUUGGACACUGGACAAGUUCACACAGCACCAUUAAAAUCCUACUGCUCUCUUGCCCAUCCCACCCACCAAGGGGGACAAAAUCCACUGCCCAGCUUCUCCUAGCUCUGUACUCCUAAAGCUGAUCAGCUCUUUUAUUCCCAAAUGGACAAAUACAAUAAUGCAAGAUUUGCAGGGGUUUUCAAUACUUAAAUAAACAUCCUUCACCUCUUUUGCUGCUUUCUUUUCUAAAGCAUGAAUAUGGCAUACACUGCCAUAUGUUUUUCUGCCAGCAGUGGUAAUAUUGUCAUCUGUCCUGUGAAGGAAAAGAAAUUAUUCGG